UACAGAAGGUCUCGAAGCGUUGUUCGGAUUCAUUGGGCGUAAAGGGCUGCGGUUAAGGGCUGCGGGGCAAGUCGGGGUGUGAAAUCUCAGAGCUCAAGCUCUACGAAACUGCACUCGAUACUGCGUUUGCUCGAGGACUGGAGAGGAGAUUGGAAUUCACGGUGUAGCAGUAGAAAUGCGUAGAUAUCGUGAGGAAGACCAGUGG
rnacentral:rRNA from 1 species